GUUAAGAAGAAACUUCUGAAAAAGGAGAACAAAGGAGUCUCACCAGUAAAAGAAGCUCCACGACAUCACAACCUGACAUCAGCUCCUAUCCGCUACUUUCAAUGCGUCUUCCUAAAUGGACCUAAUGGAUACGGACUGCAAUUCCCCACUAAUCCACCAUUCAAAAAAGAAGAAAAGAUUCACUCAAAGACUUCUAAGAGAAAGACGAAGAAACCUGGGCAGUAGAGAGACUGUCUCCUGCAAUUACUCAUAUUCUGCACUUUA